CCUACGGGUGGCAGCAGUAGGGAAUCUUCCACAAUGGACGAAAGUCUGAUCGAGCAAUGCCGCGUGAGUGAAGAAGGCUUUCGGGUCGUAAAGCUCUGUUGGUAGGGAAGAAAGAAAGCGUUAGUGACUGGCUUUUAUCUGACGGUAAUCCGUUAGAAAGUCACGGCUAACUACGUGCCAGCAGCCGCGGUAAUACGUGGGUGGCAAGCGUUGUCCGGAUUUAUUGGGCGUAAAAGGAGUGCAGGCGGUCCGAUAAGUCUGAAGUGAAGCGCUUGGGCUCAACCCGAGAAUUGCAUUAGAAACUGUUGGACUUGAGAGCAGGAGAGGGGGGUGGAACUCGAUGUGUAGCGGUGGAAUGCGUAGAUAUAUGGAAGAACACCAGUGGCGAAGGCGGCUGUCUGGUCUGCGACUGACGCUGAGGCUCGAAAGCAUGGGUAGCGAACAGGAUUAGAUACCCGGGUAGUC
rnacentral:rRNA from 1 species